UUUUACUGUCCUUAAGGGCCCUUUAAGGAAAGUCCAUACUGAAGCAUAUAAUUAGAAGCAGGCCAAUCUGUGCGUCGACCUCCCAACUUCCACGCUUCUUUCAUUAUCCCAAACACCGCAGCGGAGCUCCUCUCUCCGAGCGCGGGGAGAGAGAGCGGCCUGGAAACCUUCGCAAAGCCAGUCCUACUGAAGGAGCACAUUUCAUCCAAGGGCCAAAGAGUCAGCGGAGAGUGAAAUGACUGUUUGACUCCUUUCCAUCGCUCGCCUCUUAAGUCACACAAAGCGCGCCGACUCCCAGCCAACUGUGAGGUAUUGUAUAAUCGCCGUGCAGCUCUUAAGAGGCCCGAGAAGAAGGAAGUGGCUGUGGAGGGAAGUGCAGGAAGGUAGAGUAUGUGGAGGGGAGGGUGGACUGGAGAGCGGUCCGACUCUGAGCGGAGACUCUCAGGUCUUUAUAAACCAACAGAUCAUGACAAAGAGUUAAAGUCCGAUAACUUCACAAGGUCGGGUGAAGGGUCAGAGGUUUCUGAAAUCUGCUGCAGAUUCAUUUAUUUCUCAUGAAGAGGGUCCAGAAAGUUUGAACUCCAUCAUCUCGUUGAUAUGAUUUCCUCUGUUUGACAGUCAGAAGAGAUUUCAAAGUUUAGAUUUUUCUCCACCUGCUGCAAACAAGCCCGGCGGACGUCUUUAUCUCCUCUCCCAACAACCUGGAGGAUCGACUUCACCUCCGUCUGGAUCUCCUGCAGCACAGAUAACUUCUCCCUCGGAUGAGAUGCAGAUUUUAACCGUCUGGUCAAACACCCCGAGGGGCGAUCAAAGGUCAGACCAAAGAUCUGUUUGAAGUCCGACUCGUGGUCAGUGAAGGUCUUGUGGACACGAGUGAUUCAUGAAACGAGAACAAGCUCAAAGGGCAAAGUGAGGGACAUGAAUACCCUCUCUGUUUUCACGGGAGCGGAUAUUAACGAUGACGCCUCGCUAAUUAGCAUAAAGAUUCAUCAUCAGGGGAGGACGAGCAGGACUGAGGCGAGGACAAGCAUCAGUGCUGCUUCUGCAAAAACAGUCUGAGAAUAAAGGGUUAAUGUGAACGAGUAAGUGUAUGAAAUGUGUUAUUAGAGAAAUAAUCGAUGAAUAUCAGGCUAAUUAAAUCAUCAUUUUGGUGAAUUCAAAAGCAAAAUUCAAAGCAAAACUGACAGCAAAAGCUCAUAGAAGUUUUUAUUAUUUUGGUAUUUAGUCUUGUAAACGAUGAGCAUUUGUUUUAAAAAGAUGAUUAUCAAGAUGUAAUUUUGGUCCUUCUAAAUUAAUAUGUAUUAAUGUGUUACUUCCAUUAUAACUUUGAGUUUGUGCUGCAUUAUGAAUAAAUCAAAUCAAAUAUUAAUGAAGAUAACUUAAAAAAAAUCACUAAUUUAGACUAAAAAGUUCCAGUUAAAUUCUGAUUUACUUUCAUUAAAUGUAAGUUGCUUUUAUUUCAGCGUGCAUGAUAAUUCAAAGACUGUAUCCUCCUGGAUUUUGUCAUUCCUGCUCCACUUUAACACGCCUCAUUUUAACCGAACUACAGUCUUCAUAAAGUUCAUUCCUCCUUAAAGACUCUGACUGAAACCGCAGGAGGAGGGUCUGUUUUCUGCUCUGAGUUUGGACCGUCUCACUGUGUCGAUGACAGAAAUGUGGUUAAAAAUGAUCGAUGCAGCUCAGACUGAAUGUCACAAUUAUCUUUUUAGAGGAAGUGAAGAAAUAAAGAUAAUUAUCAGGAUAAACGGACGGUUUAAACUGCGGUUAAAGCCACGGAUUCAUCUGUGAGGGGCGAAGAAGAAAAGCACGAAGAAAGAGAAGUAACUCCUGCUGCAGGAGAGCGACCAUCGGAGCAGAUUUAUAAACCCGAGCGCGUUUCCUGUGCAGCACCUGUGCCGAGCGCCGGGCAGAUGACGCCAUAUUGGAUUGAUGCACUUGACUUGUUUCCAUGCAGGCGAAGGUACUGUGAGGACAAACAGUUAAACACACUGAUUCAUCUCCACCCGAGCGCGCUGGCACACACAGCUGUGCCGGCCGGCGAGCUUAUGGCGUUGUCAUCAUACUUCAAUUAUGAAAGGAAACAUAUUAGAGGAUGUAAAAUGUGCUAAACUGGAAAAUGGCCUCCAGCGGGUGUACGGCGGGAGGACGUGAGGUUUGUUCAUUCGUGACAGAUUUAACCUGGACGUGUUUCUGUGGAGCUAAAAGGUACGACUGCAGGUGAAUUUACGCACAAAUAAGAAAAUGUUAUCGAGUCCAAUCCUGCAACAGCGGCGAUAAUAAAACCUGUGAACAUUAUCUGAGACUCUCUGUGAUCUUCAGUCGAGUAAAUUGUUCAUCUGAGCUGCAGAAUUCCCCUAAAAACAAUCCACCGAAUCAGCCAAAGGUCAGAUCUUCACUCAGUCCCAUGUGAUUCGGCAUUUUUCAAGUUUCGUGUAUUUUUAUCGGCACAGAUUUGUUUUCUUUCUGCAUUUUUCCUGCUCUUUUAGGUCAAGAAUUAUUGCUGCUACUGCAGACAUUUUGGCACAAACUCAGGGAGUUUAUCAUCAGAGAGAAGGAGAGAGGAGAGCAAAGCGACUAAAAGAGGAGUAUCUUUGACUAUCCCUAUGUCUCCUCUCAGUCUGACUCCGUCCAAACCACGAUUCUGGGCACCCGGCGACUCCCCCCGCCUCACUAAUCACCACCACGUCUGUGCAGAAGAGGGAAGGUGAGCAGAAAAGAGAUUGGGACUCCAGAUACAAUGCUGCACAGCUCCAUAAAUCAAGCGCUCCCACAGAUUCUCAUGCACACAUCGCUCCGUCUGGCUGCUCGCUACAAGCUGUAAUUACACACCGGCUAGCUGUUGUACGGAGCCGAGGAAUGAGCUACAACAUAAUGCACAAUAAAGCCUGUCAUAUAAAAAAUGGUGUAAAAUAACUGGAUCAACACUGCGUUUUAUGGUCUCCCAGUAAAAUGACACUCAAAUGUACAAAGAGAAGGAUAAAAACAGGGCUGUAAAUGGAUGGAAGUGCAGGGUUUCCUCCCCAAACCCGAGUGU
rnacentral:lncRNA from 1 species